AGUCGCCGCGGUAAAACGUAGGGGGCAAGCGUUGUCCGGAAUUAUUGGGCGUAAAGCGCGCGCAGGCGGUUCUUUAAGUCUGGUGUAUAAGUGCGGGGCUCAACCCCGUGGGGCACUGGAAACUGGGGAACUUGAGUGCAGAAGAGGAGAGCGGAAUUCCACGUGUAGCGGUGAAAUGCGUAGAGAUGUGGAGGAACACCAGUGGCGAAGGCGGCUCUCUGGACUGUAACUGACGCUGAGGCGCGAAAGCGUGGGGAGCAAACAGGAUUAGAUACCCGCGUAGUCCCUGUCUCUUAUACAC
rnacentral:rRNA from 1 species